GCGCACACACACUCGGCAGAGAGGGAGAGAGAGGGAGAGAGAGGGACCGGAGCCACCAUCAUUACCACCGUAGCUCACCAAGCUCGCCACCAAAAUCAGCGCCGAAGCAAUCCGAACCCACCUCAAAUUGCCUCCAAAACAGCCCGGGAAAGUCAGCCUCGACUCGAGUUCCGUUCCGGCUCCGAAACCGCUUGAAAUCAGCUGCAUUUCAGCUCCAAAGACUGUCCAGAAAUCAAUUUCUAAUCAGUCACCGUUCCAGCCUUAAAAUCAGUCCAUACCCUCGCCGCCGAGCCCCGCCGCCGUCUCUUUCCGAAACCUGUUUCGCCGGACAAAAGGUAGCGAAGACGGAGCAGAAGUGUCGUACGAUUCGAUCGAGCUCAAUCCUAUUGAGAAAGAAGCUGAAAACCUUGGUUUCUGUGCGCAUAGUCGCUCUGAUUAAUUUAAGUCGACUUUAUUUUGGAAGCUUCUAAGUUUAUUUGGAAAAUGUAAUAUGUUGAUUUAUUCAAAACGAUUGUAAUAUAAUGACAUACUAGUGACGUAGUAAAUUUAUAAAUUUCUUUU